AGUGAACGCUGGCGGUAGGCCUAACACAUGCAAGUCGAACGGCAGCACAGUAAGAGCUUGCUCUUACGGGUGGCGAGUGGCGGACGGGUGAGGAAUACAUCGGAAUCUACUUUUUCGUGGGGGAUAACGUAGGGAAACUUACGCUAAUACCGCAUACGACCUACGGGUGAAAGCAGGGGAUCUUCGGACCUUGCGCGAUUGAAUGAGCCGAUGUCGGAUUAGCUGGUUGGCAGGGGAAAGGCCCACCAAGGCGACGAUCCGUAGCUGGGCUGAGAGGAUGAGCAGAGACACCGGGACGGAGACACAGUGGAGAAUACUACGCGAGGCAGGAGUGGGUGAUAUUGGAAUACGGGGUAAAUCAUGAUGGAGUAAUGCCGGGAGAGUGAUGUAGGCCGUAGGGUUGUAAAGCACUUUUACCCGGGAUGAUAAUGACAGUACCGGGAGAAUAAGCGCCGGCUAACUCCGUG
rnacentral:rRNA from 1 species